rnacentral:rRNA from 1 species
AUGAAAUCGGUGAAAUUACUCAUCGCUCUCGCGGUUCAGGAAUCAUGGAAGAUACAUCACAUGGAUGUAAAAUCUGCGUUUUUGAAUGGUGAGUUAGAAGGAGAUGUGUAUGUGAAUCAGCCACCGGAAUUCAUCAAAGAGGGAGAGGAACACAAGGUACUGAAGCUACACAAAGUCUUGUACGGGCUACAACAAGGCUCUUGGGCAUGGGACAUCAAACUUGAUCAUACACUGAUUUCUCUUGGAUUUGAGAAAGCCCCACUAAAGCAUGCGAUGUACAAGAGAGGUGAAGGAAGGGACCGUCUACUAGUUGGCAUCUAA